AUUGAACGCUGGCGGCAGGCCUAACACAUGCAAGUCGAGCGAGUGGCGGACGGGUGCGUACUGUCUGGGAAACUGCCUGAUGGCGGGGGCUAACUACUGGAAACGGUAGCUAAUACCGCAUACCAUCGGAUUUACCCAGAUGGGAUUAGCUAGUAGGUGGGUUAAAGGCUCACCUAGGCGACGAUCCCUAGCUGGUCUGAGAGGAUGACCAGCCACACUGGAACGGAGACACGGUCCAGACUCCUACGGGAGGCAGCAGUGGGGAAUAUUGCACAAUGGGCGCAAGCCUGAUGCAGCCAUGCCGCGUGUAUGAAGAAGGCCUUAGGGUUGUAAAGUACUUUCAGCGGGGAGGCGUUACCCGCAGAAGAAGCACCGGCUAACUCCGUGCCAGCCGCCGCGGUAAUUC
rnacentral:rRNA from 1 species